rnacentral:rRNA from 1 species
UAGGGAAUCUUCGGCAAUGGGGGGAACCCUGACCGAGCAACGCCGCGUGAGUGAAGAAGGUUUUCGGAUCGUAAAGCCCUGUUGUUAAGGAAGAACGAGUGUGAGAAUGGAAAGUUCAUACUGUGACGGUACUUAACCAGAAAGGGACGGCUAACUACGUGCCAGCAGCCGCGGUAAUACGUAGGUCCCGAGCGUUGUCCGGAUUUAUUGGGCGUAAAGCGAGCGCAGGCGGUUAGAUAAGUCUGAAGUUAAAGGCAGUGGCUCAACCAUUGUAGGCUUUGGAAACUGUUUAACUUGAGUGCAGAAGGGGAGAGUGGAAUUCCAUGUGUAGCGGUGAAAUGCGUAGAUAUAUGGAGGAACACCGGUGGCGAAAGCGGCUCUCUGGUCUGUAACUGACGCUGAGGCUCGAAAGCGUGGGGAGCGAACAGG